rnacentral:tRNA from 2 species
GGGCGGUUAGCUCAGUGGUUAGAGCGCUUGCUUCACACGCAAGAGGCCACUGGUUCAAGUCCAGUACCGCCCACCA